UGCAGUCGUACGAGAGUUUUUAACUCAAGUGGCGGACGGGUGAGUAACACGUAAGAAUUUGCCUUUAGGAGGGGGACAACAACUGGAAACGGUUGCUAAUACCCCAUAUGCUUUCGAGUGAAACGGAUUUUUCCGCCUAGAGAGAAGCUUGCGGCUGAUUAGCUUGUUGGUAAGGUAAUGGCUUACCAAGGCGACGAUCAGUAUCUGGUUUGAGAGGACGAUCAGACACACUGGAACUGAGACACGGUCCAGACUCCUACGGGAGGCAGCAGUGGGGAAUUUUCCGCAAUGGGCGAAAGCCUGACGGAGCAAUACCGCGUGAGGGAUGACGGCCUAUGGGUUGUAAACCUCUUUUUUCAGGGAGGAAUCAAUGACGUGUACCUGAAGAAUAAGCAUCGGCUAACUCCGUGCCAGCAGCCGCGGUAAGACGGAGGAUGCAAGUGUUAUCCGGAAUCACUGGGCGUAAAGCGUCUGUAGGUGGUUUAAUAAGUCAACUGUUAAAUCUUGAGGCUCAACCUCAAAAUCGCAGUCGAAACUAUUAGACUAGAGUAUAGUAGGGGUAAAGGGAAUUUCCAGUGGAGCGGUGAAAUGCGUAGAGAUUGGAAAGAACACCGAUGGCGAAGGCACUUUACUGGGCUAUUACUAACACUGAGAGACGAAAGCUAGGGUAGCAAAUGGGAUUAGAUACCCUGGUAGUCCCCU
rnacentral:rRNA from 1 species